CCCGCCCACGCGACCCGGGCGCAGCGGCGGGCGCCGGACAGCUGUCCCGGCGGGCGAACGACAUGCAGCGGAACUGCGGGAGGCUGCGGUUCGGUGGCUGGACUUGCGUCCCCCACCUCCUCUGUCGCGCGUGCCCUGCUCCCCAGUGAGGGCGUCCCUGGGAUGGGAUCUGGGCGCCCGGCGCAGCGCGGCUGACAACAGCCGAGCGGUUCCGGUGCGCUGGCACGUGGCUCGGGCCUGCCCCCCCGGCCUGGCCGCCUCCCGGCGCGUUCCCCGGUGCAGGUGCCUGGCCCGUGCCCCGCCAUCUCCGCCCGGCGCCGCCUGUGCUGAAGGAGCCACGCCCCGGGCUCCGGAGCCUGCCUCUGCAAAGUCCAGGCCCGCGGCGCGCAGGUCAGGGCCGCUGCUCCGGGCGGACGGGGACGCGCGGUCACAGGCAACUCCUGUCCUAAGGGCAAGUGAGACAGGAUCAGGGCUGGUAUGAAGGCAUCUCCAUUAGCAGGGAACCAGACACCUUCCAUCUGACUGCUCUGCUAUCCUUCGCAUGCUGCCUCAUGGUCCAAAGUGGCUGCUGAGCACCAGCCUUCGUGUCUGCAUUCUAGCCAGCAGGAACGAGAAAAGGAAAGGGGGCUGGCCUAAAGGCAAGAAGAGAAACCCCCCGAGGGACCUUGCUGUUCCGUGUUCCUACGACAGGGUACAUGAUAUUCCUGAAUGAGCAGAGAAGUCAGCUGAGGGCCACACACCCCGAUCUGCCUUUCACAGAAAUCAUGAAGAUGCUGGCUGUUCAGUGGGCCCAGCUGUCUCAGGAUAAAAAGGGGGAGAUGAACUCAAUGACCUCUACUGCGGGACCUCCAGGCAGCUCUUCAGCUCCCUGUGCAACAAGAAGGAACCUGCUGCAAAGGCAGCACCUGCAGCGCCUCUCAGGGGAAUUUAAAAAAGAUCCUGCCACGUACUCAUAGCACCUGGAGCCUCUGGAGGAAGAGGAGGGACAAAUGAGGUCAAGUCAGAGGAGGAAGCUGAGGGCCCCGAGUCCCUUCUGCUCAGAUGUCCGCAUCCAGA
rnacentral:lncRNA from 1 species